AAAGAUUGAAUAUUUUAUCUUUCUUAUUGGAUUUAAGCUUCUAAUAUGAAGUAAGCCUCUUAAGUAAGUUUAUAAAAACUGAUUUUUUAUUAUAAAUUAUGUCAUUUGAUAAUACUCUCUGAAAUCAGAAUGAUGUUAAUUAGAGAUGGAAUUGAUGUUGUGAGUUGGAUUAGUAGAAUGGGUUGUAUAUAAGAGUUGUGGUGGUUAGUUCAUGGAAGAGCUUAGACAGUAUGAGUAAUUCAAUUUGUUUAUCUAAAUUGUUGUGAGGAUAGUUAAUGAUUGUUGUUAUUGUUUUGAGGUAGUUGUUGGAGUAUGUAUAUGGAGAUAAUCUAUGAAGUUCAAGCUAUAAUUGGUUAUCCAAAAUGUCGAAUUAUUGGGAAUCGUUUAAAGGGUUCAUUGUUAGUGAUUUUGCAGGGUUGAUGUCGAGGUCGUGGAAUAUGAUUAUUGAUCAAGAAGAAGAGUUUUACAUUAUGAAAUGGUGGGCUGAGGUUAAAGUUAGAUGUUUUGUUUCAAAGUAUUCGUAAUCUGUUAUUAGAUUUUCAAGUUGUUAUAUUGUGGGCCCCUGACCCACAGAUCCAGGAUCGUUUUUAUAGGUUUAGUUUCCGCUGUAAAUAAAUGCAAAUUCGAGGUUUGUUAA